rnacentral:lncRNA from 1 species
GCUUGUCGAACUACGAGUUUAAUUACAGACUUUCAGAAUUUAUUAUUCAAACAUUAUUUAUAAUUUCUUCAGGUCAAUUUUUAAUAUAAUACAAAAUUAUUUCUUGAUUAGAUUAUAUUAAAGUAAGGUUCAAAUCUAGUAGCAGGAUUAAUGGAUUAUCUUGGGGCUACUUAUAGCCUUGAUAACCGUAUGACAUCUCGGGAU